GAUCCUGGCUCAGGAUGAACGCUAGCUACAGGCUUAACACAUGCAAGUCGAGGGGGAAACGACAUCGAAAGCUUGCUUUUGAUGGGUGUCGACCGGCGCACGGGUGAGUAACGCGUAUCCAACCUGCCCACCACUUGGGGAUAACCUUGCGAAAGUAAGACUAAUACCCAAUGAUAUCCCACGAAGGCAUCCGAAUGGGAUUAAAGAUUGAUCGCUAUGGGAUGGGGAUGCGUCUGAUUAGCUUGUUGGCGGGGUAACGGCCCACCAAGGCAACGAUCAGUAGGGGUUCUGAGAGGAAGGUCCCCCACAUUGGAACUGAGACACGGUCCAAACUCCUACGGGAGGCAGCAGUGAGGAAUAUUGGUCAAUGGGCGAGAGCCUGAACCAGCCAAGUAGCGUGCAGGACGACGGCCCUAUGGGUUGUAAACUGCUUUUAUAAGGGAAUAAAGUGAGUCUCGUGAGACUUUUUGCAUGUACCUUAUGAAUAAGGACCGGCUAAUUCCGUG
rnacentral:rRNA from 1 species